rnacentral:sRNA from 1 species
UCCGCCCCGGGGGGCUCCGCUCACCGCCCUCGGGGGAGGGCGGAGAUGCCGGUGUCCGAGAGGAUGGGGAUGCCUAGGCCGUUUUGGGGCGGGGAGUGUGUCCGCCAGGUCUGGGACUGAGGUGCGGUCUUCUUAAACGCGCCCCCCCUCCCGCCGCCGUGGGCCCCAAACUUCGUCCUUCUCCCCGGCCUUGUACCCUCGGGCGACCACGGCAGUUUUGGGGUGGGGGAUGCCUCAGGAGCUGUGUCUACCCUGAUCAGGAGGAAGAGGGAGCAGUGACAUUCAGCGACUGCGGACAGGCAUCCUCGGGUGGGAGUGGGGAUGUCAGAUGCAGGCUUGGAGAGGGAAGCUGCCCCUCAGGAUGCCCUCUCCCGGCCUGCGGGAGGCUGGCGAGCUCGGAGCUGCGAUCUGGGUGCUUCCUAGACUGUGCAGCUGGAUGGCAAAGGGGCAGGGGGUUGGGCUGGGGGCGACCGCUGGGGGGCCCUUUCCUCGUCUCCAACCAGCGCUGUAAAGAAAGCUGAUGGCGAAGUUCGGUUUUCCAGGCUUCCCCUGGGCCCCCGGAGUUCCUGAGGCCCAUACGAGGGAGGCCGGGGGAUCCUCUGGCCGCCUAGGCAAGGCUACUCGAAAGCUGCCCACAUGCCUUGCAGCGCCCUCCGGACUCUGGAGAAAACGUCCCUACUCUCCCCAGAGUUAGGUGGGAUGCUGCAUGGACUUCACUGCAUCUCUCUCUGGUUGACCUCCAAUUCCAAAAUCUGCCUGCUUCAGCCUCCAGGAACUGAGAUAACACCAGCCUGCUCAUCCCUUACUCUAUGGAGGUGCCCUGAAGCAAUUCCUACAUGAUUCUUACACAUGCCACAUUUAGAAUCAUCUGAGGAGUGUUAGCCCAACCUUUGCCCUAAGUCUCUCCUGAAGCUAAGUAAAUCUGGAGAAUGGAGCGUAAAAGGGUGAAGUUCGGUGAAGAAGCUGCUGACCUGAGUGACGAGAUGCUUGGCUGCACGGGUGUCCUGUGGCUGAGGAGGGAAGCUUAGAGCCUGUGUCAUCAACUCUGUGAAAACAUGGGACACUGCCAGACAUAGAUGCACAUUGUCUGAGAAGGCUGGCCUCUAACUCAACGAUUGUGUAGACAACAGAAUAUCCAUAUCUAGAUUAUAUGUGUAAAGAACUUAUAAAAAUCAGUUAUGUUUUGUUUCUUGGUUUGUUUGGCUUUUUUCCGAUUGGUGUUAAUACUAUAGCCCAAAAAAAAAAAAAAAAAAA